GCACUGGAAACUAUCACCUUAAGGAAGAUUUGUUCUUCACUGAAAGAAAACCAACAUGCCAGAGGCACAAGGAAAGUUGGCCAAGGGGAGUAUCUCUGUAAUGGUGCCAGAUUCAAGUUAAUUUCACCGUAGAUCCUGGGACUCACCUGAGGAAUAUCGAAGAGGGUGGCAGUGGCAUUCGUGGGGCUAGGAACUAGAGAAGGGAAUCUAUAUCAAGAAAGCAAGAGCCAGAUUGAGAAGAGCCUCAAGAUCGUGAAAGCCUGAGGAUAAAACACAAGGAAGAAGAAGCCAGUCUCCAAACAGGAUACAUCAAGUUGGAAAACGGCUAUGAACCAAGAAGGGAGUCUCACCAGACACCAAAUCUGCUGGCACCAUGAUGUUGGACUCCCAACCUCCAGAACUGUGAGAAGGCAGGCCCUGUGACUCACUAUAACCCAUAGAAUGAGA
ensembl:lncRNA